rnacentral:antisense_RNA from 1 species
UCUGUAUCAUCAGACUCAUCUAUUUCGGAAAAAUCGGAUUCAUCAAAUGAAUCUUCAACCAACAACUAUUCGAGAAUGAUGUUAACAUCACACAUAGGCAUGCUAUGUUUUCUAGGAUUUGACAUUUUCAGCGAUCAAGAAUUACUGUAUUUUGUAAAUGGAAAUACCACUACUAAAAACAGAAUGCUAUAAAUAGAAUGAUGUCGUUUCCAAAGUUGAUAUACUAGAGCAAUGUGAAAAUAAUAAAAGUGAGAUAUUUUGUGGCAAUGAUUUAAAAAGAUGUUCAGUAGUAUAACAAAAGUACAAAAAUAAAGUGACAAGCAAUUCUA